rnacentral:rRNA from 1 species
UUGACGGGGCCCGCACAAGCGGUGGAGCAUGUGGUUAAUUCGAAGCAACGCGAAGAACCUUACCAGGUCUUGACAUCCCCUGACAACCCGAGAGAUCGGGCGUUCCCCUUCGGGGGACAGGGUGACAGGUGGUGCAUGGUUGUCGUCAGCUCGUGUCGUGAGAUGUUGGGUUAAAGUCCCGCAACGAGCGCAACCCUCGACCUUAGUUGCCAGCAUUCAGUUGGGCACUCUAAGGUGACUGCCGGCUAAAAGUCGGAGGAAGUGGGGAUGACGUCAAAUCAUCAUGCCCCUUAUGACCUGGGCUACACACGUGCUACAAUGGGCGGUACAAAGGGUCGCGAACCCGCGAGGGGGAGCCAAUCCCAAAAAGCCGCUCUCAGUUCGGAUUGCAGGCUGCAACUCGCCUGCAUGAAGCCGGAAUCGCUAGUAAUCGCGGAUCAGCAUGCCGCGGUGAAUACGUUCCCGGGCCUU